UUUCAACCUGAGCCAAACUUUUCAGUGAUCUGCCUGUGGGAGGAAACAUCCACUUCUAUAUGCAGAUGCUUCUGUCAACCAAGUCUUGCUGCUUUUCCCAAAUUUCCUUUGAUAUGAAGUCUCCUUGUCCAUCUUACCAGAAUUUAUGGGGUUAAGUGAAUCUUCAGUUCAGAAGAAAGUCAAGAGGUGGAGGACCCUUGCUCAUCAUCUGCCCAGGCUUCCCCUUGGGAGAAAGCCAAGUGACAGAGGAGCCCUGCAGGUUGAAAAUGCUCUUUAUUGCCUGAGUGAAGGCCUGGGAGCUUUAGAGAAACCAGUUCUUUCUGAAGGCUGAAGAAUCUGUAUGUGUUGGGAAACCCUCUAUCUGACAAACCUUCAGAAGAACAAGAAAAAGCAAGAAGAGACAGAUAGAAGGACACUAAAAAGAAGCUUACUGUGCUUUAAUGUUUCAUAUCCUAGCAGCAUAUCUGACAAUCUAAUCAUAAUGCAUAUGCAUCAGCUAUUGGCAGACCAUUCCUUUGCAGUCUGCGGUCUGCAGUGGGAAAUGACGUGAUCCAAAGAGGUUCUCUGAAAUGGGCCAUUUACAUCUCAGGCACUCACCUGCAGGGCAUUUCUUUCCUGGCAAGAAAAAGAAGCAGGCAAGUGCAUGAACAGGUUCCUGCCUGGUCUGCCUUUUGCUAUUAUGGGCACAUCUUAGAUAACAAAGCCUCUUUUUUGCAAAGGCUUCUCUACACUGGUUCCUGGCACUUCCAACAAUUUAUUUUUCCUGUUUUAUACAUGGCAUUCAAUUUAUGUGGCGACAUGUACCAUCGAUACAUCAUCUUUAAGAAAUGUUCUUUAUAUUUCUGACAUUGAGUAAAUUUAUUUGUUUGUUGCCAUGUCUUUCCCCACUUCCUUAGUUCGAUGUUCUCUCCGAUGUCUUGCACCCAUCUUAUCAUAGAGUGCUUGAUUAUUUCUUGUUCUUGAUCUCUCUCCUUCAAAAACCUAUAGUAUUUUGCUAUAUGGUGUUCCCCUUCAUCUACUAUUAUCUUGUCUAUAUCAUUCUUUUCUGUUAUCAAUCCUACAAUUUUCUUAACCAUUUUGAACCUUUCCGUUAGUUGUUUAUAUAUAUAUAAAUGUUUAUUUCUUCUUUUCCCAGUUGUUCUAUCGAUUUCAUUUUAUAGUAAUUGUUCUUUUCUUAUAUCAAUAUGACCUUAUAUCUAAUCCACAGUUCUUAUUUAGUUUUGUUCCUAGAGAAAAAAGCUUCUUGCGAUGAUACCCGCAUCAGGAUGCCUCUAUAAAUAUGUUCUUAAUCUUUAUCCAAACUUUAAUAAAGCUCUUCUAAUAAAGUGAUA